CUGCCCCGGCAACCUCCCGGUCCCCUCCUGAAGGGACAAGCCGCAGCCCGCCCUGUCCCCGCACCCGUGACAGCGAUUCGCCACCCCCCCCCGCAUUUAACUAGUGACACCAAAGAAAACUAAAAACGCAGCGACUCGGUCUCUCCCAACGGUAAAAGGGUCCUAGGCCACUGACAGCGUGGGUGUGCGUGCGGGUGUGCUUGCACACGAGGACACGCAAGUUUACCACCACGUCAGCGCUGGAAUGGAGAGUCCUCCCCUAAAGCCAGAGCCGGCACUCGCGACUGCCCAACGCUGCUGGGUUUCACGGGCGAGCCUGGCGUGAGCUCAGCCCCCUUCUCGUACGGGUUUGGGCCCCUGCUCCUCGCUGGUGGGGACACGCUGAAAAAGAGUGCAGCAAACAGAAUGGAUUACAGAGGUGGGUUCAGUCCGGGACGCGGCCCCGGUGAACCGCACGCCUGCGGUGCUGCCGGGAAUUUCACCGGGACACGUCCCCCCAUUCACACGGCCGCCACAAUUAAAGGCAUCUGCAUCCCUAACUCAGCCAGAUAAAAUAACUUCUAAAGAGGUAAAUAACUUCAGGAGGUAAAAUUUAUGUUGCUGGAACACUUAUUAUUAAUAUUAUUUGUGUUAUUGGUUUUUUGUUUUUGUUUUUGUUUUUGUUUUUUUUUUAAAUAAAGCCAGU